rnacentral:rRNA from 1 species
GAUGAACGCUAGCGGCAGGCCUAACACAUGCAAGUCGAGGGGUAGAACACUUCGGUGUUUGAGACCGGCGCACGGGUGCUUAACGCGUAUGCAAUCUACCUUGUACAGGGGAAUAGCCCAGAGACAUUUGGAUUAAUGCCCCAUAGUAUAUAACCUUCGCAUGUUGGUUAUAUUAAAGUUCCAACGGUACAAGAUGAGCAUGCGUCCCAUUAGUUAGUUGGUAAGGUAACGGCUUACCAAGACGAUGAUGGGUCGGGGUCCUGAGAGGGAGAGCCCCCACGCUGGUACCGAGACACGUACCAGACUCCUACGGGAGGCAGCAGUGAGGAAUAUUGGUCAAUGGGCGCAAGCCUGAACCAGCCAUGCCGCGUGCAGGAAGACGGUCCUAUGGAUUGUAAACUGCUUUUAUACAGGAAGAAACAACUCUACGUGUAGAGUCUUGACGGUACUGUAGGAAUAAGGAUCGGCUAACUCCGUGCCAGCCGCCGCCGUAAGAC